AAAAACGUGGAAUUUAUUCUAAAGCAUUACACAAUAACAAAUCAAAUAUAUCUAAAAAAAUAUAGAAUCAUGUUGUCUAUCAUGAUUGAAAUUAAUUCUCUUCUCCAAGUUGUUUACAGGUUCAAAACAAAGAAGGAAGAAAAACAAAUUGUAGCAACUACGGACCACCCAUCUGCGGCGACCUCCGCUCCCGAUGAACAACCAAGCCAAUAUCGAUCUGGCCAAGCACAUACAUUCUACAACCUCCGACCAUCGAGUACCGCCGCUCCUGAACCCAUGAUGCUGCAUCCUCCAAUCGAGCCCGCACACGUGGCGAUACCGCUGCCAAAAAAUCAUCGGUAA